rnacentral:rRNA from 1 species
ACGGAAGGCAGCAGUGGGGAAUAUUGCACAAUGGGCGAAAGCCUGAUGCAGCGACGCCGCGUGAGUGAUGAAGUAUUUCGGUAUGUAAAGCUCUAUCAGCAGGGAAGAUAAUGACGGUACCUGACUAAGAAGCACCGGCUAAAUACGUGCCAGCAGCCGCGGUAAUACGUAUGGUGCAAGCGUUAUCCGGAUUUACUGGGUGUAAAGGGAGCGCAGGCGGUACGGCAAGUCUGAUGUGAAAGCCCGGGGCUCAACCCCGGUACUGCAUUGGAAACUGUCGAACUAGAGUGUCGGAGGGGUAAGUGGAAUUCCUAGUGUAGCGGUGAAAUGCGUAGAUAUUAGGAGGAACACCAGUGGCGAAGGCGACUUACUGGACGAUAACUGACGCUGAGGCUCGAAAGCGUGGGGAGCAAGCAGGAUUAGAUACCCUGGUA